rnacentral:rRNA from 1 species
UAGGGAAUAUUGGACAAUGGGCGCAAGCCUGAUCCAGCCAUGCCGCGUGAGUGAAGAAGGCCCUCGGGUUGUAAAGCUCUUUUGUCCGGAAAGAAAAGCAUCGGGCUAAUACCCUGGUGUUCUGACGGUACCGGAAGAAUAAGCACCGGCUAACUUCGUGCCAGCAGCCGCGGUAAUACGAAGGGUGCAAGCGUUACUCGGAAUUACUGGGCGUAAAGCGUGCGUAGGUGGUUUGUUAAGUCUGAUGUGAAAGCCCCUGGGCUCAACCUGGGAAUGGCAUUGGAAACUGGCGGACUCGAGUGCGGUAGAGGGGUGUGGAAUUCCCGGUGUAGCAGUGAAAUGCGUAGAGAUCGGGAGGAACACCAGUGGCGAAGGCGACACCCUGGACCAGCACUGACACUGAGGCACGAAAGCGUGGGGAGCAAACAGGAUUAGAUACCCUGGUAGUCCACGCCCUAAACGAUGCGACUGGAUGUUGGGUGCAACUUGGCACUCAGUAUCGAAGCUAACGCGUUAAGUUCGCCGCCUGGGGAGUACGGUCGCAAGACUGAAACUUAAAUGAAUUGACGGGGUCAUAGCUGUUUCCGU